GAUGAACGCUGGCGGCGUGCCUAAUACAUGCAAGUCGAGCGAACAGACGAGGAGCUUGCUCCUCUGACAUUAGCGGCGGACGGGUGAGUAACACGUGGAUAACCUACCUAUAAGACUGGGAUAACUUCGGGAAACCGGAGCUAAUACCGGAUAAUAUAUUGAACCGCAUGGUUCAAUAGUGAAAGACGGUUUUGCUGUCACUUAUAGAUGGAUCCGCGCCGCAUUAGCUAGUUGGUAAGGUAACGGCUUACCAAGGCAACGAUGCGUAGCCGACCUGAGAGGGGGAUCGGCCACACUGGAACUGAGACACGGUCCAGACUCCUACGGGAGGCAGCAGUAGGGAAUCUUCCGCAAUGGGCGAAAGCCUGACGGAGCAACGCCGCGUGAGUGAUGAAGGUCUUCGGAUCGUAAAACUCUGUUAUUAGGGAAGAACAAAUGUGUAAGUAACUAUGCACGCCUUGACGGUACCUAAUCAGAAAGCCACGGCUAACUACGAG
rnacentral:rRNA from 1 species